AUUUAAUUUGACUUGGACUUUAUCUUAAUUUGAUCAUAUCAAAUUAAUAAUGCAAUAUCUGCACAUAAGUCCUCUCAUAAUUUACUAACUAUUAGUAAGUCUCUCUUGUAACAUUUACACCUUAAUACCACUAAUUUGUAACAAUUACAAAUUAGCCCAAUUAUCAACAUAUUGAUAAUUAGGUCGUCCGACGAUUCAAUAAUCGCAAUCUAGCUAUCCGAUCAAUCACAACCUCUUAUGUGUGUGACCCCAUAGGUUCUAUUCUAUCUGGUAGUGAGAUAUAUUUUGAUCACUAUCAACAAUAUCACUGAAACUCCUUUCAGUGGAUCGGAACAAUUCCAACUCAGCCCAAUAAGAAUUAUCGAUCAUCUAGAUAAUCCUCAUGAGUCUCACAAUCCACCAGUGA
rnacentral:lncRNA from 1 species